UGUCGUGAGAGGCACGCACAUGGAGAAAGAGGGAGAGGUGUGUGUGUGUGACAGAACAAAAAUCUCAUGGGUGCAUUCUGUCGUGAGAGACACCCACACGGAAAGAGCGAGCAAGAGACAGAGUGAGGGGUGUGUGUGUGUGUGUGUGUGUGUGUGUGUGUGUGUGUGUGUGUGUGUG